rnacentral:rRNA from 1 species
AGUGAACGCUGGCGGUAGGCCUAACACAUGCAAGUCGAACGGCAGCACAGUAAGAGCUUGCUCUUACGGGUGGCGAGUGGCGGACGGGUGAGGAAUACAUCUGAAUCUACUUUUUCGUGGGGGAUAACGUAGGGAAACUUACGCUAAUACCGCAUACGACCUACGGGUGAAAGCAGGGGAUCUUCGGACCUUGCGCGAUUGAAUGAGCCGAUGUCGGAUUAGCUAGUUGGCGGGGUAAAGGCCCACCAAGGCGACGAUCCGUAGCUGGUCUGAGAGGAUGAUCAGCCGCACUGGAACUGAGACACGGUCCAGACUCCUACGGGAGGCAGCAGUGGGGAAUAUUGGACAAUGGGCGCAAGCCUGAUCCAGCCAUACCGCGUGGGUGAAGAAGGCCUUCGGGUUGUAAAGCCCUUUUGUUGGGAAAGAAAAGCAGCAGGUUAAUACCCCGCUGUUCUGACGGUACCCAAAGAAUAAGCACCGGCUAACUUCGUG